GGCUGAAUAGCUCAGUGGUAAGAGCAGUCGCCCGGCAAGCGAAAGGCUCGAUUCCCGAUUCAGCGA
rfam:Camponotus floridanus CamFlo_1.0_3.contig520, whole genome shotgun sequence.